rnacentral:rRNA from 1 species
GACGAACGCUGGCGGCGUGCUUAACACAUGCAAGUCGAACGGAAAGGCCCUGCUUUUGUGGGGUGCUCGAGUGGCGAACGGGUGAGUAACACGUGAGUAACCUGCCCUUGACUUUGGGAUAACUUCAGGAAACUGGGGCUAAUACCGGAUAGGAGCUCCUGCUGCAUGGUGGGGGUUGGAAAGUUUCGGCGGUUGGGGAUGGACUCGCGGCUUAUCAGCUUGUUGGUGGGGUAGUGGCUUACCAAGGCUUUGACGGGUAGCCGGCCUGAGAGGGUGACCGGGCACAGGGGGCUAGGGGAGGCACCCGUGGGCAAUCGGGGGGAAUGGGCGGGGACUUGUGCCAACGGGGCGGAGGCUGUGAAGAAGAUCGCCGGGUUGGGGAGCACGGCCUGUGGGGUGGAAAGCCAUUACGUUUGUACCGAGGUGUGUUGACGGGAAAUGGAGAAAAAGGCCCGGCUAACUUCGUG